GGGUAGCCGAUGGGUUCGCUUUCUCCUCCGCACCCGCCGCCCUCGACUCUCGGCGUCACAGAGAGCGAGCGAGCGAGAGGAGGGGGGGAGGAGGGGACGGGAGGGGAGAGAGAGAGAGAGAGAGAGAAAGAGGUGGUAGUUCCUGUUCUUUCUGCCAGCAGUGCACUUGGAAGACUCACAGGUGGGUAUUUAUGAUUUUCUCGAAAAUAUUUUUUUUCAUAGUUGGGGAAAGGAAAGAAGAGGGGAGAGGGGGGGAGAUCGCGCUGAUCCGUCGGGGAUUGCCCUUCUGUGCUCCGAUCAUCGCUUAGUCUUCCUGGGAUUUUGCGAGAAUUCAGGAGGAAGAAGAGGAAGAAACAGAAGCCUCCCUCCCCCUUCCUCGAUCAGGCUCCUCCCUGGUUCAUAGCCAGCUGUUUGAGGACAGGCUGGGCGCCUCCCCCACGGCGCUGGCAGGAACAAGACCCCUGACCUGCCUCCGAGGGUUUCACGCUGGCGUGAGGCCGGCGUACUGGUCGUCUCCGCGUCGCACCAACUAGAAGGUACGACUGAUCUUUCUCCCCUCGUAUUAAUUCCCUAGGGCAACCCUUCCUCCCCCGGUCAAUCUUCGCUCCUCGUUGGUGCUGCUUUCGGGUAUCAGAGUCACCAUGGUCCCGCCAUUGCAGGGCUGCUCCGAGCUCUGGAGCGGCAUGGAGCGUUGUUGGCCCGGCGGCGGGUACUGCCCCUACUUCGACCCCGAUUACGACUCCCUCACCGAAAGAAUCAACCCUCCGAGGUAUCUCUCUCUCUCUCUCN
rnacentral:lncRNA from 1 species